GGUGGCCUCACGGCCGUCGGCGUUGCUGGGAAGUUGACCAAACUUGAUCAUUUAGAGGAAGUAAAAGUCGUAACAAGGUUUCCGUAGGGGAACCUGCGGAAGGAUCAUUAACGUUUUC
rnacentral:rRNA from 1 species